CUUUUGGGCUGUCGCAGAUGGAUGAGCCUGCGUUGGAUUAGCUAGUUGGUGGGGUAAGGGCCUACCAAGGCUACGAUCCAUAGCUGAUUUGAGAGGAUGAUCAGCCACAUUGGGACUGAGACACGGCCCAAACUCCUACGGGAGGCAGCAGUGAGGAAUAUUGGACAAUGGGGGCAACCCUGAUCCAGCAAUGCCAUGUGUGUGAAGAAGGCCUUAGGGUUGUAAAGCACUUUAGUUGGGGAAGAAAGCUUUGAGGUUAAUAGCCUUGAGGAAAAGGACGUUACCCAAAGAAUAAGCACCGGCUAACUCCGUGCCAGCAGCCGCGGUAAUACGGGGGGUGCAAGCGUUAAUCGGAAUUACUGGGCGUAAAGGGUCUGUAGGUGGUUUGUUAAGUCAGAUGUGAAAGCCUAGGGCUCAACCUUGGAACUGCAUUUGAUACUGGUAAACUAGAGUACGGUAGAGGAAUGGGGAAUUUCUGGUGUAGCGGUGAAAUGCGUAGAGAUCAGAAGGAACACCAAUGGCGAAGGCAACAUUCUGGACCGAUACUGACACUGAGGGACGAAAGCGUGGGGAUCAAACAGGAUUAGAUACCCUGGUAGUCCACGCUGUAAACGAUGAGUACUAGCUGUUGGAGUCGGUGUAAAGGCUCUAGUGGCGCAGCUAACGCGAUAAGUACUCCGCCUGGGGACUACGGCCGCAAGGCUAAAACUCAAAGGAAUUGACGGGGACCCGCACAAGCGGUGGAGCAUGUAGUUUAAUUCGAUGCAACGCGAAGAACCUUACCUGGUCUUGACAUCCUGCGAUCUUUCUAGAGAUAGAUUGGUGCCUUCGGGAACGCAGUGACAGGUGCUGCACGGCUGUCGUCAGCUCGUGUUGUGAA
rnacentral:rRNA from 1 species